UACGUAGGUGGCGAGCGUUGUCCGGAUUACUGGGCGUAAAGAGCGCGCAGGCGGUCGUACAAGUCGCGUGUGAAAGCCCCCGGCUCAACUGGGGAGGGUCACGCGAUACUGUUCGACUCGAAGGCAGGAGAGGGAAGUGGAAUUCCCGGUGUAGUGGUGAAAUGCGUAGAUAUCGGGAGGAACACCAGUGGCGAAGGCGACUUCCUGGCCUGUUCUUGACGCUGAGGCGCGAAAGCUAGGGUAGCAAACGG
rnacentral:rRNA from 1 species